CGGACGGGUGAGUAACGCGUGAGAAUCUGCCUUCAGGUCGGGGAUAACAGCUGGAAACGGCUGCUAAUACCGGAUGAGCCGAGAGGUAAAAGCAAAAGUGCUUGAAGAUGAGCUCGCGUCUGAUUAGCUAGUUGGUGGGGUAAGAGCCUACCAAGGCGACGAUCAGUAGCUGGUCUGAGAGGAUGAUCAGCCACACUGGGACUGAGACACGGCCCAGACUCCUACGGGAGGCAGCAGUGGGGAAUUUUCCGCAAUGGGCGCAAGCCUGACGGAGCAAUACCGCGUGAGGGAGGAAGGCCCUUGGGUUGUAAACCUCUUUUGUCAGGGAAGAAGGUCUGACGGUACCUGACGAAUCAGCAUCGGCUAACUCCGUGCCAGCAGCCGCGGUAAUACGGAGGAUGCAAGCGUUAUCCGGAUUUAUUGGGCGUAAAGGGUCCGCAGGUGGUUAUUCAAGUCUGCUGUCAAAGCGCGGAGCUUAACUCCGUACAGGCGGUGGAAACUGAGGAACUAGAGUCUGGUAGGGGUCGCGGGAAUUCCCAGUGUAGCGGUGAAAUGCGUAGAUAUUGGGAAGAACACCGGCGGCGAAAGCGCGCGACUGGACCGGAACUGACACUGAGGGACGAAAGCUAGGGGAGCGAAAGGGAUUAGAUACCCCUGUAGUC
rnacentral:rRNA from 1 species